CCUACGGGAGGCAGCAGUGGGGAAUAUUGCACAAUGGAGGAAACUCUGAUGCAGCGACGCCGCGUGAGUGAAGAAGUAUUUCGGUAUGUAAAGCUCUAUCAGCAGGGAAGAUAAUGACGGUACCUGACUAAGAAGCACCGGCUAAAUACGUGCCAGCAGCCGCGGUAAUACGUAUGGUGCAAGCGUUAUCCGGAUUUACUGGGUGUAAAGGGAGCGUAGGUGGCUGUGCAAGUCAGAAGUGAAAGCCCGGGGCUUAACCCCGGGACUGCUUUUGAAACUGUGCGGCUGGAGUGCAGGAGAGGUAAGUGGAAUUCCUAGUGUAGCGGUGAAAUGCGUAGAUAUUAGGAGGAACACCGGUGGCGAAGGCGGCUUACUGGACUGUAACUGACACUGAGGCUCGAAAGCGUGGGGAGCAAACAGGAUU
rnacentral:rRNA from 1 species